ensembl:snoRNA small nucleolar RNA SNORD19
AGGAAAUGAGGACACUAACGCAAGUCUGACUAUAAUGAAGACUUCUAAUCCAACUCUGAUCCUGCUGGCC